rnacentral:rRNA from 1 species
GAUGAACGCUGGCGGCGUGCCUAAUACAUGCAAGUCGAGCGAACAGAUGAGAAGCUUGCUUCUCUGAUGUUAGCGGCGGACGGGUGAGUAACACGUGGGUAACCUACCUAUAAGACUGGGAUAACUCCGGGAAACCGGGGCUAAUACCGGAUAAUAUUUUGAACCGCAUGGUUCAAUAGUGAAAGACGGUUUCGGCUGUCACUUAUAGAUGGACCCGCGCCGUAUUAGCUAGUUGGUAAGGUAACGGGUUACCAAGGCGACGAUACGUAGCCGACCUGAGAGGGUGAGCAGCCACACUGGAACUGACACACGGUCCAGACUCCUACGGGAGGCAGCAGUAGGGAAUCUUCCGCAAUGGGCGAAAGCCUGACGGAGCAACGCCGCGUGAGUGAUGAAGGUCUUCGGAUCGUAAAACUCUGUUGUUAGGGAAGAACAAAUUUGUUAGUAACUGAACAAGUCUUGACGGUACCUAACCAGAAAGCCACGGCUAACUACGUGCCAGCAGCCGCCGUAA